GUAGGUGGCAAGCGUUGUCCGGAAUUAUUGGGCGUAAAGCGCGCGCAGGCGGUUCUUUAAGUCUGAUGUGAAAGCCCACGGCUCAACCGUGGAGGGUCAUUGGAAACUGGAGAACUUGAGUACAGAAGAGGAAAGCGGAAUUCCACGUGUAGCGGUGAAAUGCGUAGAGAUGUGGAGGAACACCAGUGGCGAAGGCGGCUUUCUGGUCUGUAACUGACGCUGAGGCGCGAAAGCGUGGGGAGCAAACAGGGAUUAGAUACCCUGGUAGUCCACGCCGUAAACGAUGAGUGCUAAGUGUUAGGGGGGUUUCCCGCCCCUUAGUGCUGCAGCUAACGCAUUAAGCACUCCGCCUGGGGAGUACGGCCCGCAAGGCUG
rnacentral:rRNA from 1 species